rnacentral:tRNA from 1 species
UUGAUAAGAACGGGACUACAACCCGCCUGAACAGGGCUACAACCUGCCACCUACACAUCGGCCACCU